GCCGCUUCUCUCAUGACUCUCAGUUGAGUGGAUUGUGAGCCUUCAUAAAAUGCUAGAGUCAUAUUGUUGUCAUCUCCUCCUCCUGAAUGAGGUCUGGAGACAAGACAGAACUCAGUCAGAACACGUAUUAAUCCACAAUAAUUAAGUGCUUUGAGUUUGUUUACUAAAGUCUGUGGAAUCUGUGGGUGUGACUCAAACAACAACACACCUCCACUUGUUCUUUAAAUGUUCAACUGUCACUUUUAAUGAAGUAAAAAAAAGUUUCACGUUGACUGAAACAAAAAUCAGGAGAAACUGUGAAGUGGUAAAGUAUAGUAUAGUAAACUAGUAAAGUAUAAAACAGCCAAUAUUUGACAAGUGGAGACGAGUGGCUGAUGAGGCUGCAGCUACAACAUCCUCAGUGUUUGUUGGUUUAAACUCAAAGUCAGGACGAAUAAAAUGCAAUAGAAAAGAAAACAAAUCCAGAGGAUGAAAAGAAAACAUUUGAUCUGAGAAAAAAAACUAAAUGUCCCCAAAACAAACUGUUUUGGAUGUUGAAUGUGAAAAAUCUAAACAUAAAGAGGAAGUAACUGAGAUUUCUCCUGACAUGAGAAGCACAUGCACGCACGCACGCACACACACACACACACACACACACACACACACACACACACACACACACACACACACACACACACACACACACACACACACACACACACACACACACACAGCAGGGAUCCGGCUGUUUGGUUUCAGUGUCUGGUCCCAGAUCAGAGACGCACUGUCUGGACUCACACUCAGACGCCAUGUGUGGAGUCCUGCUGCUGCUGCUGCUGCUCUGUAGCUCUCAGACUAAUCAUUUCUAUGGGACAGUGAUGACCUUCACCCCCCAGGACCUCAGAAAUAAUGGCUCAGUCACGGUUGUCUGUCGCUACAAGACCAGCUUCCGCUCGUGCAGCGAUGGCGACGCCUGGGACUGCGCCGGCGGCGACUGUGGGAGUCACACGUUAGAGCUGAGCGUCGUGGACACGCUGGACGGAGACUGGUGUCAGAAGGAGGGAGUCAUGAGGCGACGCGUUCCAGACACGGAGCCGUUUCAGCUGCGCCUGAGUGGCGGCGACUGGAUAAGCGGCGUCAGAAACGGCGUGCGCAGCUGGUUAGCGAUAACGCGCGUGGACCUGAGAGUCCGCUCUGACCUGGGUCAACCCAACAGGUCGCCUCAGACCACGGUGCUGCCAGCGCUGCGAGUUCCAUCAAACUGUCGCAGGGACUUCGACCUUCUGGCCUUUGACCCAGAUGGAGACGAGGUGAAGUGCAGAUAUGGUGACGCCGGAGCACAGGAGUGUAACCCCUGCAGGCCACCGUCUCUCCUCACCGUCUCACCGUCGUGUACGUUAACGUUCCACUCCAGCAGCAGCAGCAGUGAAGGCCCGUACGCCGUCCAGGUGGAGAUGGAGGACUUCCCCAAGCAGAACAUCUCCCUCCUUCAGCGUGAUGGUGUGAAGAUAACAAGAACUCCCAGUGAUGCUCUGAGUAAAAUACCGCUCAGGUUUGCUUUAAUAGUGGACCCAGCAGUUCCAUCCUGCACUGACGGACUCUAUCUCCCCAAGUUCCUGCCUCCAACUCCAGCAAGUCGGGCUCAGCUGGUCGCGUUUGUCAACCUAAACCUGGAGAUUACGAUCAAAGCGGAGGCAACUAGCGCCCAGGUCUCGGGUGUUUUCUUCAGUGGACCACACGGCACCACAAAGCAGGAGGUGUCUGAGGGCCACUUCCUGCUGAACUGGACGCCGCCUGAAGGCAGCGAGGAGGAGACCCACCCCAUGUGCUUCGUGGUCCGAGCAGUAAAAAGGUCUCUGGUGUAA
ensembl:lncRNA uncharacterized LOC114868772